rnacentral:rRNA from 1 species
AUUGAACGCUGGCGGCAGGCCUAACACAUGCAAGUCGAACGGUAACAGGAAGAAGCUUGCUUCUUUGCUGACGAGUGGCGGACGGGUGAGUAAUGUCUGGGAAACUGCCUGAUGGAGGGGGAUAACUACUGGAAACGGUAGCUAAUACCGCAUAACGUCGCAAGACCAAAAAGGGGGACCUUCGGGCCUCUUGCCAUCGGAUGUGCCCAGAUGGGAUUAGCUAGUAGGUGGGGUAACGGCUCACCUAGGCGACGAUCCCUAGCUGGUCUGAGAGGAUGACCAGCCACACUGGAACUGGGACACGGUCCAGACUCCUACGGGAGGCAGCAGUGGGGAAUAUUGCACAAUGGGCGCAAGCCUGAUGCAGCCAUGCCGCGUGUAUGAAGAAGGCCUUCGGGUUGUAAAGUACUUUCAGCGGGGAGGAAGGGAGUAAAGUUAAUACCUUUACACAUUGACGUUACCCGCAGAAGAAGCACCGGCUAACUACGUG